rnacentral:rRNA from 1 species
UGGGAAUUUUGGACAAUUGGGCGAAAGCCUGAUCCAGCAAUGCCGCGUGUGUGAAGAAGGCCUUCGGGUUGUAAAGCGCUUUUGUCCGGAAAGAAAUCCUUGGCUCUAAUACAGUCGGGGAUGACGGUACCGGAAGAAUAAGCACCGGCUAACUACGUGCCAGCAGCCGCGGUAAUACGUAGGGUGCAAGCGUUAAUCGGAAUUACUGGGCGUAAAGCGUGCGCAGGCGGUUUGCUAAGACCGAUGUGAAAUCCCCGGGCUCAACCUGGGAACUGCAUUGGUGACUGGCAGGCUAGAGUAUGGCAGAGGGGGGUAGAAUUCCACGUGUAGCAGUGAAAUGCGUAGAGAUGUGGAGGAAUACCGAUGGCGAAGGCAGCCCCCUGGGCCAAUACUGACGCUCAUGCACGAAAGCGUGGGGAGCAAAACAGGAUUAGAUACCCUGGUAGUCCACGCCCUAAACGAUGUCAACUAGUUGUUGGGGAUUCAUUUCCUUAGUAACGUAGCUAACGCGUGAAGUUGACCGCCUGGGGAGUACGGUCGCAAGAUUAAAACUCAAAUGAAUUGACGGGGUC